GUUUAUGGUGGCUGUGCGCAGGACACCUUCGGGUGUGCCGGUUUCCUUGAUUCCCGGUCCGUCAACCUGCGUACAGCUGCCACCUUA
rnacentral:antisense_RNA from 1 species